AAUUAUUCAAUUAUCAUCUGGUAGGUUUACAUUUUAAAUAAAUAAUCUUUAAAACAAAUGAUAAAAGGUAGAAAAUCUUAAUACAACUCUGUUUUUAGAUACGGCAGUAAGUACUCCCGAUCGACGUGUGUUUUCACCUGAAUACGAACAUAUGUACUCCCCUAUAAUCCCAGAGGAGAAAAUCUGGAGCGAGGAAGAAGGGGAAGAAGAAGAAGUGCAG